rnacentral:lncRNA from 1 species
CUACUAUCCCUAUCAUGAAAUUAUUAAGAGAUUAGGUAGAGCUACUAACCUUAGAAAUAGAUAUUGAGAUAGUGAACAUAAUAAGGAAAUUAAAAUGUUAUAUUUAGCUAAAGAAUAAAUAACUUAACUUUUCAAGUAUCGGCUUCUAACUAAUCAUCAGUUCUUUAACUUAACUUGUGCCGACGCAAACCUUAUAUUCUUCGAGCUCCAACCUUCAAGCUCAUGCCAUUUUUCAAAAAUUAGAGUUUAUAGAUUUUCUAUUUCUAAUUACCAAACAAAAGAAGUAAAAUAACCCAACAAGACUUUUGAAGGAUCACCACCAUUGAACUUAAUAAAAUUAAAAAUUAGCUACUAACCCUAUCAUGGAAUUAUUUAAAGACGAGGUAGAGGUACUAACCUUUGAAAUAAAAAUUGAAAUAGUAAACAAAAUAAGAAAAUUGAAAAGUCAUAUUUAGUUAUAGAAUAAAGAAUUUAACCUUUCAAGUAAGCUGCUUCUAACUGAUCAUAAGUCUUCAACUUAAAUUGUGCCGACGCAAACCCUAUGUUCUUCGAGCUCCAAC